CAGCAGCCACGGUAAUACGUAGGUCCCGAGCGUUGUCCGGAUUUAUUGGGCGUAAAGGGAGCGCAGGCGGUUUAGUAAGUCUAAAGUUAAAGGCAUUGGCUCAACCAAUGUAUGCUUUGGAAACUGUUAGACUUGAGUGCAGAAGGGGAGAGUGGAAUUCCAUGUGUAGCGGUGAAAUGCGUAGAUAUAUGGAGGAACACCGGUGGCGAAGGCGGCUCUCUGGUCUGUCACUGACGCUGAGGCUCGAAAGCGUGGGUAGCGAACAGGAUUAGAUACCCCAGUAGUCCCUGUCUCUUAUACC
rnacentral:rRNA from 1 species